CAUGAAGUUGGAUUCGCUAGUAAUCGCGCAUCAGCCAUGGCGCGGUGAAUACGUUCCCGGGCCUUGUACACACCGCCCGUCAAGCCAUGAGAGUCGCCAACACCCGAAGUCCGCUUUGCGGCCUAAGGUGGGGGAGAUGAUUGGGGUUAAGUCGUAACAAGGUACC
rnacentral:rRNA from 1 species